UUCCUCUGGCUUCAUGGCUCUAUUCCCCAGACCUCUAACUUAGGCCCUGGCUUCAGGGCAGAAAUGGUACCUGCAUGAACUUCUAGAGCUGUUGGAUUUUGAGUGUUCCUGGUAUGGGGUCUCAGGAAGAUCAUGUAUUAAUCAGCUUGGGCUGCCAAAGCAAAAUACCAGAGACUGAGUGGCUUACACACCAGAAACCUACUUCUAAUAGUUCUGGAAGUCUAAGAUCAAGAGGGAGGUGCCUGGGGCUGGGAAGCACAACCUGGAUCUCAGGAAUGUUCAAGUCUUCCACCAGAACUGUAUUUUCACAGCUAUCAUGGAGAUCACAUUGCUUCUGCUUUCCUCUCUGAAAGGAGUUACCCCACCAGCAACUAAUAGUGAAUUAUCCACCAAUCCAAGGAUAUAGUGGCCCAGAACAAGAUUUGAG